UCAGUUACAAUCUAGCAUCUGGGGCACACAUAACGAGUAUCUAAUUACUCUCUAACAAGCCUCGGGAAGGUCUGAGAAUUGGCCAAAACUCUAUUUGUUGUUGUAACAACAUGCAGCCAACGAAAGACGUCUGUGUGUAACGGAGUUUUAUUUCCUAGCAGGAAACUUGUGUAAUCACAAGGCGAAAGUACCAGAAAUACUGCAACUUGGUCGUUGCCGUCAUUGUGACCGCCGCCUUGUUGUAUUGAAACCUUUCGUGGCCAGCAAUUUUAGUGCGAUGUGCUUGCUGCAGACGCACACCUUGUGUGGGCGUGCAGAACUCAAUUCAGACUAAUCUGUGACUGA
rnacentral:RNase_P_RNA from 1 species